rnacentral:lncRNA from 1 species
UUAUACUUUUAUGGGUUUUGUAUCCAGUAGAAGGGUCUCUUUUAUGACUAUUUUAUAAGUUAUACAUAAACAUAUUUGGUUUAUAAUAAAAUGUUAUUCUCCAUACAUAUAUAUAUAUAUAUAUAUAAAAACGUAUGUGUGUAUGCGUGUGUGUCGUCUUAUAUGGUUUGAGCAAUCCUUUCUUUUUCAGCUAGUCUUUGGAGUUGAGUUUAGGCCCAAAAUUCAUUUCUUUAGCACGG